CAUCCGCCCGGGUACUACGAGCACAGCUUAAAACCCAAAGGACUUGGCGGUGUCUCAGACCCACCUAGAGGAGCCUGUUCUAGAACCGAUAACCCCCGUUAAACCUCACCACUUCUUGUUUUCUCCGCCUAUAUACCGCCGUCGUCAGCUUACCCUGUGAAGGCUCAGCAGUAAGCAAAAGGGGCACACC
rnacentral:rRNA from 1 species